UUCACCCAGUUCAAUGUAACAGUGACAGGUUUAGGUUACUGUCAUUCAUAUUCACCCAGUUCAAUGUAACAGUGACAGGUUUAGGUUACUGUCAUUCAUAUUCACCCAGUUCAAUGUAACAGUGAUAGGUUUAGGUUACUGUCAUUCAUAUUCACCCAGUUCAAUGUAACAGUGAUAGGUUUAGGUUACUGUCAUUCAUAUUCACCCAGUUCAAUGUAACAGUGAUAGGUUUAGGUUACUGUCAUUCAUAUUCACCCAGUUCAAUGUAACAGUGAUAGGUUUAGGUUACUGUCAUUCAUAUUCACCCAGUUCAAUGUAACAGUGACAGGUUUAGGUUACUGUCAUUCAUAUUCACCCAGUUCAAUGUAACAGUGAUAGGUUUAGGUUACUGUCAUUCAUAUUCCAUUCACCCAGUUCAAUGUAACAGCGAUAGGUUUAGGUUACUGUCAUUCAUAUUCACCCAGUUCAAUGUAACAGUGAUAGGUUUAGGUUACUGUCAUUCAUAUUCACCCAGUUCAAUGUAACAGUGAUAGGUUUAGGUUACUGUCAUUCAUAUUCACCCAGUUCAAUGUAACAGUGAUAGGUUUAGGUUACUGUCAUUCAUAUUCACCCAGUUCAAUGUAACAGCGAUAGGUUUAGGUUACUGUCAUUCAUAUUCACCCAGUUCAAUGUAACAGCGAUAGGUUUAGGUUACUGUCAUUCAUAUUCACCCAGUUCAAUGUAACAGCGAUAGGUUUAGGUUACUGUCAUUCAUAUUCACCCAGUUCAAUGUAACAGUGAUAGGUUUAGGUUACUGUCAUUCAUAUUCACCCAGUUCAAUGUAACAGCGAUAGGUUUAGGUUACUGUCAUUCAUAUUCCAUUCACCCAGUUCAAUGUAACAGCGAUAGGUUUAGGUUACUGUCAUUCAUAUUCACCCAGUUCAAUGUAACAGCGAUAGGUUUAGGUUACUGUCAUUCAUAUUCACCCAGUUCAAUGUAACAGCGAUAGGUUUAGGUUACUGUCAUUCAUAUUCAC